GGUUGCGAUCAUACCAACACUAAUGCACCGGAUCCCAUCAGAACUCCGCAGUCAAGCGUGCUUGGGCGAGAGUAGUACUAGGAUGGGUGACCCCCUGGGAAGUCCUCGUGUUGCAACCC
rnacentral:rRNA from 1 species